GUUUGUGACGCAUUUUUUCUUUCCGUGUGAAGCUCCAGCUGAAGAUGAAAGGCUGACUUCAGCAGCAUGGAUCAGUGUGAGGACAGAGAAACCACUCUGAGUGGGGAACAGGACAGAGGAACCACUCUGAGUGGGGAACUGGACCACCAGACCAAAGCUCAGAGGAUCCAUCAGAGACCACACUCUCCUGAACCAGAACCCAGUUGUGUGUCCUUCAAGAGUGACCGGUCUAAGGAGUGGCCGCUGUUGUUUCAAAAUCCAGCUUCACCACCA